GCUGAAGCGACAAAUGCCCUGCUUCCAGGAAAAGCCUCUAAGCAUCAGGUAACAUCAAAUCGUACCCCAAACCGACACAGGUGGUCAGGUAGAGAAUACCAAGGCGCUUGAGAGAACUCGGGUGAAGGAACUAGGCAAAAUGGUGCCGUAACUUCGGGAGAAGGCACGCUGAUAUGUAGGUGAAGCGACUUGCUCGUGGAGCUGAAAUCAGUCGAAGAUACCAGCUGGCUGCAACUGUUUAUUAAAAACACAGCACUGUGCAAACACGAAAGUGGACGUAUACGGUGUGACGCCUGCCCGGUGCCGGAAGGUUAAUUGAUGGGGUUAGCGGUAACGCGAAGCUCUUGAUCGAAGCCCCGGUAAACGGCGGCCGUAACUAUAACGGUCCUAAGGUAGCGAAAUUCCUUGUCGGGUAAGUUCCGACCUGCACGAAUGGCGUAAUGAUGGCCAGGCUGUCUCCACCCGAGACUCAGUGAAAUUGAACUCGCUGUGAAGAUGCAGUGUACCCGCGGCAAGACGGAAAGACCCCGUGAACCUUUACUAUAGCUUGACACUGAACAUUGAGCCUUGAUGUGUAGGAUAGGUGGGAGGCUUUGAAGUGUGGACGCCAGUCUGCAUGGAGCCGACCUUGAAAUACCACCCUUUAAUGUUUGAUGUUCUAACGUGGGCCCCUUACCGGGGUUGCGGACAGUGUCUGGUGGGUAGUUUGACUGGGGCGGUCUCCUCCUAAAGAGUAACGGAGGAGCACGAAGGUUGGCUAAUCCUGGUCGGACAUCAGGAGGUUAGUGCAAUGGCAUAAGCCAGCUUGACUGCGAGCGUGACGGCGCGAGCAGGUGCGAAAGCAGGUCAUAGUGAUCCGGUGGUUCUGAAUGGAAGGGCCAUCGCUCAACGGAUAAAAGGUACUCCGGGGAUAACAGGCUGAUACCGCCCAAGAGUUCAUAUCGACGGCGGUGUUUGGCACCUCGAUGUCGGCUCAUCACAUCCUGGGGCUGAAGUAGGUCCCAAGGGUAUGGCUGUUCGCCAUUUAAAGUGGUACGCGAGCUGGGUUUAGAACGUCGUGAGACAGUUCGGUCCCUAUCUGCCGUGGGCGCUGGAGAACUGAGGGGGGCUGCUCCUAGUACGAGAGGACCGGAGUGGACGCAUCACUGGUGUUCGGGUUGUCAUGCCAAUGGCACUGCCCGGUAGCUAAAUGCGGAAGAGAUAAGUGCUGAAAGCAUCUAAGCACGAAACUUGCCCCGAGAUGAGUUCUCCCUGACUCCUUGAGAGUCCUGAAGGAACGUUGAAGACGACGACGUUGAUAGGCCGGGUGUGUAAGCGCAGCGAUGCGUUGAGCUAACCGGUACUAAUGAACCGUGAGGCUUAACCUU
rnacentral:rRNA from 1 species